GUGGGGAAACGGCAUUAUGUGCUUGCACAUUCUGGACGUCGACCGGCGCACGGGUGAGUAUCGCGUAUCCAACCUGCCCCUUACUUGGGGAUACCCCGUUGAAAGACGGCCUAAUACCCGAUGUGUUUCAUUGACGGCAUCCGAUAUGAAACAAAGGUUUUUCCGGUAAGGGAUGGGGAUGCGUCUGAUUAGCUAGUUGGCGGGGCAACGGCCCACCAAGGCGACGAUCAGUAGGGGUUCUGAGAGGAAGGUCCCCCACAUUGGAACUGAGACACGGUCCAAACUCCUACGGGAGGCAGCAGUGAGGAAUAUUGGUCAAUGGACGCAAGUCUGAACCAGCCAAGUAGCGUGCAGGAUGACGGCCCUAUGGGUUGUGAACUGCUUUUGUAUGGGGAUAAAGUUAGGGACGUGUCCCUAUUUGCAGGUACCAUACGAAUAAGGACCGGCUAAUUCCGUGCCAGCAGCCGCGGUAAUACGGAAGGUCCAGGCGUUAUCCGGAUUUAUUGGGUUUAAAGGGAGCGUAGGCUGGAGAUUAAGUGUGUUGUGAAAUGUAGACGCUCAACGUCUGAAUUGCAGCGCAUACUGGUUUCCUUGAGUACGCACAACGUUGGCGGAAUUCGUCGUGUAGCGGUGAAAUGCUUAGAUAUGACGAAGAACUCCGAUUGCGAAGGCAGCUGACGGGAGCGCAACUGACGCUUAAGCUCGAAGGUGCGGGUAUCAAACAGGAUUAGAUACCCUGGUAGUCCGCACAGUAAACGAUGGAUGCCCGCUGUUGGUACCUGGUAUCAGCGGCUAAGCGAAA
rnacentral:rRNA from 1 species